rnacentral:rRNA from 1 species
AUUGAACGCUGGCGGUAUGCUUUACACAUGCAAGUCGAACGGCAGCACGGGCUUCGGCCUGGUGGCGAGUGGCGAACGGGUGAGUAAUAUAUCGGAACGUACCCAGAAGUGGGGGAUAACGUAGCGAAAGUUACGCUAAUACCGCAUACGAUCUAUGGAUGAAAGCAGGGGACCGCAAGGCCUUGUGCUCCUGGAGCGGCCGAUAUCUGAUUAGCUAGUUGGUGAGGUAAAGGCUCACCAAGGCGACGAUCAGUAGCUGGUCUGAGAGGACGACCAGCCACACUGGAACUGAGACACGGUCCAGACUCCUACGGGAGGCAGCAGUGGGGAAUUUUGGACAAUGGGCGCAAGCCUGAUCCAGCAAUGCCGCGUGAGUGAAGAAGGCCUUCGGGUUGUAAAGCUCUUUUGUCAGGGAAGAAACGGUAGAGGCUAAUAUCCUUUGCUAAUGACGGUGCCUGAAGAAUAAGCACCGGCUAACUACGUG